AGAUUGAACGCUGGCGGCAGGCCUAACACAUGCAAGUCGAGCGGUAGAGAGGUGCUUGCACCCCUUGAGAGCGGCGGACGGGUGAGUAAUGCCUAGGAAUCUGCCUAGUGGUGGGGGAUAACGUUCGGAAACGGACGCUAAUACCGCAUACGUCCUACGGGAGAAAGCGGGGGACCUUCGGGCCUCGCGCCAUUAGAUGAGCCUAGGUCGGAUUAGCUAGUUGGUGAGGUAAUGGCUCACCAAGGCGACGAUCCGUAACUGGUCUGAGAGGAUGAUCAGUCACACUGGAACUGAGACACGGUCCAGACUCCUACGGGAGGCAGCAGUGGGGAAUAUUGGACAAUGGGCGAAAGCCUGAUCCAGCCAUGCCGCGUGUGUGAAGAAGGUCUUCGGAUUGUAAAGCACUUUAAGUUGGGAGAAGGCAAUUAACCUAAUACGUUAGUGUUUUGACGUUACCGACAGAAUAAGCACCGGCUAACUCUGCGCCAGCAG
rnacentral:rRNA from 1 species